rnacentral:rRNA from 1 species
GAUGAACGCUGGCGGCGUGCCUAAUACAUGCAAGUCGAGCGAACGGACGAGAAGCUUGCUUUUCUGAUGUUAGCGGCGGACGGGUGAGUAACACGUGGAUAACCUACCUAUAAGACUGGGAUAACUUCGGGAAACCGGAGCUAAUACCGGAUAAUAUUUUGAGCCGCAUGGUUCAAAAGUGAAAGACGGUCUUGCUGUCACUUAUAGAUGGAUCCGCGCUGCAUUAGCUAGUUGGUAAGGUAACGGCUUACCAAGGCAACGAUGCAUAGCCGACCUGAGAGGGUGAUCGGCCACACUGGAACUGAGACACGGUCCAGACUCCUACGGGAGGCAGCAGUAGGGAAUCUUCCGAAAUGGGCGAAAGCCUGACGGAGCAACGCCGCGUGAGUGAUGAAGGUCUUCGGAUCGUAAAACUCUGUUAUUAGGGAAGAACAUAUGUGUAAGUAACUGUGCACAUCUUGACGGUACCUAAUCAGAAAGCCACGGCUAACUACGUG